GCUGUGCCUGUGGGGACUGCUCCUUAUCAGCACACCUGCUGAGUGCAUUGCAAAAGCAGCCCCUGGUCACCUGUGCCUUUGGGUAGCUGGGGGUUUUUCAGGGAUGUUGCUGUUACCCUUUUUUACCACCUGGCAAAGCAGGAGGGAAGGGAGCACGAGGUUCAGGCUGCCAUAAGAAUGGGACCCAGUGCACUUUCCUCCAGAUCUGCUCUGUGUGCAUCCAGCAGCUGACCCUACACAUGUUUAUCCAAGUGACUGGAGCUGUGCCAGUCUCUCUGCUUUCAGCCUUUGACUUCCCACGAACUGCUGACCCAUCAUGUGACAGCCGUGGUGGGGCCAGUGCUGCGAGAUGUGGUAUCGGCGCUUAUCACCCCUGCUCGGGGGGAAGGGCCCCCAGCUGCCCCGGAGCCUGGCUGUGCUGGGGCACCAGCAGCACCAGCUCCGGCCUCGGGGAGUGGGCAAACCCCAUGUGUGUCAGAGAGAGGGCUUAUGUACCAGCAGACCCCAUCCCUUACAGAGAGAUGCUUCCCUGCUCCCCUGGAGCAACUGCUUCAUGCCCACCCGGCCUUCAGAGCCCUGCACAGGACAUUUUGUGGGCUGCCAGACCUGGGCUCCUGUUUAACCAGUCCCUCUGCCCAGUGGGAGGUUUUUGCUUGCUCCCCCAGCACAUGACUUACAGGGUGGCUCCAAACUGCUCUCGGUCUUCCUGGGCUGGAGCCUGUUUACAAAACAGUGGCUGAAAGCUGCUAUUUAUCCUUACAUACACAUUGCAUUCAGAGUUGCUAAAUAGGCAAGCCCAAAAUGAAAGUCAUCUGGGUUUUCUUUAAUUAGAAUAAAAUCCUGAUGAAUCAGGAGGUUCUGUACCUCAAGGAUGCACCAGGAAUUGACUUUGGCUGCAGACAGCAAGGUACAGCAGUCAGCAGAGCCGGCUCGCUGCCUUGACAUCUGCUGGAAAGACUUGUUUUUCCCUCCCGAGUCACAUGCUAGCUUGUGAUCUGAUCAUGGGAUACAAAGGAUAACCUUCCAAUAUUUGCUCUUCUCAUCUGCAAUUUCAAAAGGCAGGGGAAAAGAGCAAAAAGCAGCAUAAGAGAGGAAAGCACAAGCCCCCUUUCCUCACUUGAUUAGUGUUGCUGUAGGUGCUGUGCUUGUUGCUGGGACAUGGCAGGAGUCUGGCUGCAAUGCCAUGGGCUGUGCUUGUGCCUGUUGUGGCCCUG